rnacentral:lncRNA from 1 species
GCCGGAAGUCCCGUUCUCUGGGGAGCGGGAACCCUGGCGACCCGUGUCAUGGGAGCGGGUUUCUGUUACGUGGGCUUUAGCGCGAGCUGGGCGGUCGGCCCGGUCCCACCGAACUGCAUAGGGCCGUGUAGCCGGGGGAAGUCAGCCCCCUGCUCUGAGAAGCAGACUCUGCAUCUGUAAAAGGCUAAGCGUGCCCACUGGGGCCUGUGGUCAGGAUUGGCUGCAGUGAGGUCCGCAAAGCCCCUACCGCAUCCUGCGCCUUCGUUAGGGUGAGCAGUCAUGGGGACUCGCAUUGUGCCACCACGUAGCGGGUCUCACUGGGUCCGCUUGUCUGCUCGAGGAGACAGCCGGUGAGGACGGGAGCUGGCCUGCUUUGCCCAGGCUGUAACCUCAGCCUCCGCCCAUACCCACAGUAAGCAUCCAUUCCAUUGAUAUUCGCUAAAUGAGUGAAUUAUUACUAAGACAGAGGGCCGAGUGGAAGCGCCAUAAAUCACGUGAGUGAAUGUAAUUGUUGUCGCUGACCCUAUGGAGCACUUCCCUUGCCAGGCACUCACCCAUCCUAGGUAUGUACUUUACAUGUAAUUGUCAUCUUCAUUUGUCUUCACAACAACCCUGUGAGGUGGGUGCUGUGGUUACUCCCAUUUUACAGAUAGGUAACUGAGGCACACAGAGCAUUUUGUUCAAGGACACACUGCCAGUCAGGGGUAGGAGCAGAAUGAGAACCUAUGGAGCUUGCUCUUAGGCACCCUGCCACACUGCUCACUGUGGGAGAGAAGCAGCCAGGCAGACGUGUGCAGCUUGGAAUUCCUUGCACACAUGGCUGCGGCAGGUCAAUUAGGUGCCCUGGUGUGUGCUGCAAAGAUGGAUACUAUGCGGUCCCUGCUGGGCACUCUGACUACUUCACUGGGCAGCUAGUUUUCCUGUUCACCAAGAGAAUUCUUUCCCAUGGCUUGUCUCAGACCUCCCGCACUCACUACUUCCUCACCGGACUCAAUGACCAUGGGUCUUAUCCCAUUGAGAAAAUGUAAUGCAUAAGAAUGGAAUGCACUCCUUCACAAUCACUUUGGCAUUCAUCGCCUCUUUUCCUCUUGCCCCAAAAGAGGGUCUCUUACAGAGGCCAGUCCCUCUAACUGUGUCCUGGAUCCCUCCCCAUUUGCCUUCUUUAUUAUAGGCAGUGCUCUAAGUGUGGUCUGGGAAUCCCUGGGGAUCCUGAGACCCUUUCAGACUGUCCAUGGGGCCAAAAAAUACUUUCAUAACACUUAAGACUUUACUUGCUUUUUCAUUGUUUUUCUCUCAUAAGUAUAUGGGGGGAUUUUCCAGAAGCUACAUGAUGUGUGAUAUUGCAACAAAUUGAAUGCAAAAGAAGGUAAGAGAUCCAGCGGUCUUGUACUAAGCCAGAUGUUAAAGAGAUCUGCAAAAAUAGAAAACUGCCCCUCUUUUCACUUUUUUGGAAAGUGUAAUUUUUCAUUAGAGAACGUUAACAUCUAAUGGGUUUAUUAUUUUUAAUGAGUUAAUAAAUUUUUUAUCAAUUGUA